rnacentral:rRNA from 1 species
GACGAACGCUGGCGGCGCGCUUAACACAUGCAAGUCGAACGGAAAGGCCUUCUUUCCCUUGUGCAUUGCGGGUGCACGGGUGGCUAACGGGUGAGUAACACGCGAGUCAUCUGCCCCCAACUUGGGUAUAAUCCGGGGAAACUGGGUCUAAUUCCCUAUAGGACUGCAGGGUUGUGCCUGUGGUUGGAAACGAGUUUCUAGUGCUUGGGGAUGACCUGGCGGCCUAGCAGUUUGUUGGUGAGGUAGUGGCCUGCCAAGGCGGCGACGGGUAGCCGGGCCGGGAGGGUGGACGGCCAGAUUGGGACGGAGCUACGGCCCAGAGGCAUGCGGGAGGCAGCAGUGGGGGACAUCGGACAAUGGGAGGAAGCCAGAUGCGGCGACGCCGCGUGGGGGAUGACGGCCGUGGGGUUGUAAACUCGUGUCGAACGCGAGGAAGCCACCUGGCUGGAAGGGUGGUGACGGUAGUGGUAGAAGAAGCACCGGCUAACUACGUG